UUAGAUUUAUCGAAAAUCAAAUUGGAAAUUCUUUCAAUGAAAUUCAAUAUUUGUUUUCCUUCUCUUCUAAUUCUUUUUGUGCUGAAGUGAUCUCUGGAAGUUUCUUUUGAAGAUUUAUAAUUUUUCUUUACAAUGUUGACUUUGUUUAGUUUAACAAUAAGCUUUAUCUUUUAUUAAAUUGUUUUCAGAGAUAUGAUGAAUUGUCGUGCGAUAAAAGCUAGGUAUUACAAAUAAUAAUUCAAUCGUUUGUGUUUAGUAACCAUCAACUAUAAAUUUUUACUCGGUCAUUAUCAUUCAAUCCAAUA
rnacentral:lncRNA from 1 species